rnacentral:sRNA from 1 species
CCCUCGCGGGUGCACCGCCGA